rnacentral:lncRNA from 1 species
AUUGCUUUAAGGAAAUUAUGUUAUAUAGAGCAAUAAAACUGGAAGGAACCUCAGCAAUCACAUAAUCUGAGUCUCUUAGCCACCUACUCCUCCUCCAAAGCAAGCAUCUCAGAGUGUAUACCCUUAGCACCUCAGUGCCUGCUAUGUCAUAAGUGUUUAGAAUGCUGUUUAAUUGAAUAAAUGUCCAAAGCUUUACAGCCAAAUUUGGAUGUUAUAGUUUUGGAAACCAUAACAAUUGUCAACCUGGUGUGAGUAAACAAUCUGAAGAAGGCGGUUUGAGAACUUUCCCUCAGACCUUUAGGAAGACAUACCUCAUUCUGCCAAGAAUAAAGAAGAGAAACAGACUUUUUGACUUUUAAAAGAUCUUCAGUUUUCUUUUACUGAUUUCUCCAAUGAAAACAGCAUUCAUGAAUGACUCAGGCAUUGUUGAAUCCGCUUAAAUUUUUUCUUUCCAAUUUUGCUUAUUUUAUAUCUUCUGCCUGAAAUGGAAAAAAUCACAGGAUUCACGGUAUCAAAGAAGCAUCUUCAAACAUCCAGACCAAUGGAUCUCAGGCUGAUCAAGGAGGAACGCGCCCCCUGUGUGAGCUGAUAACAGACAAUUCCCACAGAGCUUUUUCAGAAGCUCACCCAAGACCGCCAGUUACUGUCUACCUCACUUUCUGUUCGAAGUCUAGGAGCAGAGUGAAUAAGGACAAUGAUGUGAAAGUAAAUACAACAUGCUGUGGACAUUCUAUCUGGAAAUCUUCAUGAUAUCAACAAAUCUUCUCAUGAGUGAUUCAUAAACUGGAAAAUAGCUCAAGGAGUCUUGUAUCUUCUGCCUGCAUCCAGGAAAUAAUAAAGGGCUAAUUUAUUAGCUUGUAAGUAGGAUAAAAAUCAAAUCUCAGGCUCAACAGCCCUCAUUAAGCAUACAGCUCAGCUGGAAGUUCUGGAAAUGCACAAAGCAGCUCUUUCAAGGCAGAAACACUAGGAGUAAUGGCACAAGGAUGAAAAUUUUGAGACCGUUCUGGAGGAUGAAGGAGAAGACUGGCUAUGCCGGGACUCAAAGGAUUGGUCAUGCCUGGGAGCUACCAAGAGCACGAGGGAGGCCUUAGCAUGUUUUCAUUCAGAUGGGAAAGCAGCAAAGAAGGAGAGAUCAAAGAUCAGAGGGUACAUUAGGCCCUCUGUGUCCACCAGUUCUGCAAGAAACAGAGGGCCGACUCAGGGACUUGAGCAUCCGCGGAUUUUGGUAUCCAAAGGAGGUCCUGGAACCCAGCGCCCACAGAUAUUAAGGUACAACUGUAACUUACGGAGCAAGAUCCCAG